rnacentral:tRNA from 1 species
GCCUCCGUGGUGUAGUGGUCAGCACACUCGGUGUGUAUUCGAAAACUCAGUGGUUCGAAUCCCGGCGAGGGCA